UGCAAGUCGAACGCUUUGUGGUUCAACUGAUUUGAAGAGCUUGCUCAGAUAUGACGAUGGACAUUGCAAAGAGUGGCGAACGGGUGAGUAACACGUGGGAAACCUACCUCUUAGCAGGGGAUAACAUUUGGAAACAGAUGCUAAUACCGUAUAACAAUGACAACCGCAUGGUUGUUAUUUAAAAGAUGGUUCUGCUAUCACUAAGAGAUGGUCCCGCGGUGCAUUAGCUAGUUGGUAAGGUAAUGGCUUACCAAGGCGAUGAUGCAUAGCCGAGUUGAGAGACUGAUCGGCCACAAUGGGACUGAGACACGGCCCAUACUCCUACGGGAGGCAGCAGUAGGGAAUCUUCCACAAUGGGCGAAAGCCUGAUGGAGCAACGCCGCGUGUGUGAUGAAGGGUUUCGGCUCGUAAAACACUGUUGUAAGAGAAGAAUGACAUUGAGAGUAACUGUUCAAUGUGUGACGGUAUCUUACCAGAAAGGAACGGCUAAAUACGUGCCAGCAGCCGCGGUAAUACGUAUGUUCCAAGCGUUAUCCGGAUUUAUUGGGCGUAAAGCGAGCGCAGACGGUUAUUUAAGUCUGAAGUGAAAGCCCUCAGCUCAACUGAGGAAUUGCUUUGGAAACUGGAUGACUUGAGUGCAGUAGAGGAAAGUGGAACUCCAUGUGUAGCGGUGAAAUGCGUAGAUAUAUGGAAGAACACCAGUGGCGAAGGCGGCUUUCUGGACUGUAACUGACGUUGAGGCUCGAAAGUGUGGGUAGCAAACAGGAUUAGAUACCCUGGUAGUCCACACCGUAAACGAUGAGUGCUAGGUGUUUGAGGGUUUCCGCCCUUAAGUGCCGCAGCUAACGCAUUAAGCACUCCGCCUGGGGAGUACGACCGCAAGGUUGAAACUCAAAGGAAUUGACGGGGACCCGCACAAGCGGUGGAGCAUGUGGUUUAAUUCGAAGCAACGCGAAGAACCUUACCAGGUCUUGACAUCCCUUGACAACUCCAGAGAUGGAGCGUUCCCUUCGGGGACAAGGUGACAGGUGGUGCAUGGUUGUCGUCAGCUCGUGUCGUGAGAUGUUGGGUUAAGUCCCGCAACGAGCGCAACCCUUAUUACUAGUUGCCAGCAUUCAGUUGGGCACUCUAGUGAGACUGCCGGUGACAAACCGGAGGAAGGUGGGGAUGACGUCAAAUCAUCAUGCCCCUUAUGACCUGGGCUACACACGUGCUACAAUGGCGUAUACAACGAGUUGCCAACCCGCGAGGGUGAGCUAAUCUCUUAAAGUACGUCUCAGUUCGGAUUGUAGGCUGCAACUCGCCUACAUGAAGUCGGAAUCGCUAGUAAUCGCGGAUCAGCACGCCGCGGUGAAUACGUUCCCGGGUCUUGUACACACCGCCCGUCACACCAUGAGAGUUUGUAACACCCAAAGCCGGUGGGGUAACCUUCGGGAGCCA
rnacentral:rRNA from 1 species